rnacentral:lncRNA from 1 species
CAGGUGUCCAGCAAACACCAUUUGACUACCCAGAAAGGAAGCAUUAUCAUAGGCUCAGAGCAGCUUUUGGUAAUUUCUUUCCUCUCACACCAAAGCAUUGUGUGCGCACGUGUGUGUGUGUGUGUGUGUUUUAAUUUUUAUUUUAGAGACAGGGUUUUGCUGUGUUGCUCAGGCUUGUCUUGAACUUCUGGGCUCGUGUGCUGCGAUUACAGGGUGAGCCACUGCGCCUGAUCAAGGCAUCACCGUUGAACCUCCUAAGAGGAAAACAUAAGGCUGUGCAAUACCAGGAACUGGGAUUCUAGGUAAAAAGUUCUAGAAGGAAGCCUCGGUGCCAGAAUCCGCAAACACACAGAGCACUCAGUGGUGAGCAGCACCAGUGAUCCCAUCAGAAGCCUGCUUUUGUCCUUUAAGGUUGCCCCAGACACCAAGGCAUCAAAAGCCAGGGGAUCCAGAGAAAACACAGACAGCCAAGAGAGAAACUGCGGGAAAAGCCAAAAGGUUGAGAGCCACACCAUCUAGAAGCUUCCUGCCUGCGGUGCGGCACAGAAACAAGGAGAGUCAGCAAUUACCAGCCAGCCGAGGUCCUGGAAGCUGACGUAGAGCUCGUGCCGACGGCAGACCUGCCGGCCGUGGGAGCCGUGGACGUCAUCUGCAGGGACAGAAGGGGCAAGGUCUUUUCUGGGGUUCCUGCUGUGUGCAGCUACUAUGGGGUACCAGGGUGGGGGAUGCCCUGAUGAGCACAUUUGUCAAAUAAAUGAAUGACAGGAAACCAUUUGGUCUCAUAAAGCCCAUCCCUGGAACUCUGCUUGUACCAUGACCCAGCUCAGAAGCCUGCCAUGGCUCCCAAUGGCUAGAGUGACACUGUGCCCAGUCCUCCCCUGUCCUUCAGCCUAUGAGCGUCUUUAUGCUCCAGUAAACAGCCCAGCAGGACCCUCGG